AAAGAUUCCCAAGGGCCAUGCUUUGAUGGGCGACGCUUCUCUUGACGUUCCUAUAAGAUUAUUUUUCAUGUAGUGGAACACGGUAGUCUUGUAGUGGUUUCAUCUGGUGAAGAGCGCACAGUUACCAGCUGCAGGUCGUCCUGUUCGAAGCGUAGACAUCACCGGGAUACAUCACUACAGAGGAUAGGACCAAAAUCUCUUUCUUUUCAGUGCAUCACAGUUACAAAUUGUAGGAAAAACCAACACAAGGAAAGGUAUUUCAAAAGGAAAAGCUCCCCAUUCUCGCCGCGCGGCCCCCCGUUCGCCUGCCCUUUUCCAAAGGAUGACGUGCCCAUGAUGUCUUUCUGGAAGUGUACCCCAGAGGCCCACCUUGGCAGCUAGAGGAGAGGUUGGCCUCCGUCACCAUGACAGCACUGCCACGGGACGUCACCUCCCUGCCUGCAUCUAUCCUCUUCAUCUCCUCUCUCCACCUCCUCCUCCUCCUCGUCCUCCUCCCACUCCCUUCAGCUCCCUCGACCGCACCCCCCACACCC